rnacentral:rRNA from 1 species
ACUAAGCGUACACGGUGGAUGCCCUGGCAGUCAGAGGCGAUGAAGGACGUGCUAAUCUGCGAUAAGCGUCGGUAAGGUGAUAUGAACCGUUAUAACCGGCGAUUUCCGAAUGGGGAAACCCAGUGUGUUUCGACACACUAUCAUUAACUGAAUCCAUAGGUUAAUGAGGCGAACCGGGGGAACUGAAACAUCUAAGUACCCCGAGGAAAAGAAAUCAACCGAGAUUCCCCAGUAGCGGCGAGCGAACGGGGAGCAGCCCAGAGCCUGAAUCAGUGUGUGUGUUAGUGGAAGCGUCUGGAAAGGCGCGCGAUACAGGGUGACAGCCCCGUACACAAAAAUGCACAUAUUGUGAGCUCGAUGAGUAGGGCGGGACACGUGGUAUCCUGUCUGAAUAUGGGGGGACCAUCCUCCAAGGCUAAAUACUCCUGACUGACCGAUAGUGAACCAGUACCGUGAGGGAAAGGCGAAAAGAACCCCGGCGAGGGGAGUGAAAAAGAACCUGAAACCGUGUACGUACAAGCAGUGGGAGCACGCUUAGGCGUGUGACUGCGUACCUUUUGUAUAAUGGGUCAGCGACUUAUAUUCUGUAGCAAGGUUAACCGAAUAGGGGAGCCGAAGGGAAACCGAGUCUUAACUGGGCGUUAAGUUGCAGGGUAUAGACCCGAAACCCGGUGAUCUAGCCAUGGGCAGGUUGAAGGUUGGGUAACACUAACUGGAGGACCGAACCGACUAAUGUUGAAAAAUUAGCGGAUGACUUGUGGCUGGGGGUGAAAGGCCAAUCAAACCGGGAGAUAGCUGGUUCUCCCCGAAAGCUAUUUAGGUAGCGCCUCGUGAAUUCAUCUCCGGGGGUAGAGCACUGUUUCGGCAAGGGGGUCAUCCCGACUUACCAACCCGAUGCAAACUGCGAAUACCGGAGAAUGUUAUCACGGGAGACACACGGCGGGUGCUAACGUCCGUCGUGAAGAGGGAAACAACCCAGACCGCCAGCUAAGGUCCCAAAGUCAUGGUUAAGUGGGAAACGAUGUGGGAAGGCCCAGACAGCCAGGAUGUUGGCUUAGAAGCAGCCAUCAUUUAAAGAAAGCGUAAUAGCUCACUGGUCGAGUCGGCCUGCGCGGAAGAUGUAACGGGGCUAAACCAUGCACCGAAGCUGCGGCAGCGACGCUUAUGCGUUGUUGGGUAGGGGAGCGUUCUGUAAGCCUGCGAAGGUGUGCUGUGAGGCAUGCUGGAGGUAUCAGAAGUGCGAAUGCUGACAUAAGUAACGAUAAAGCGGGUGAAAAGCCCGCUCGCCGGAAGACCAAGGGUUCCUGUCCAACGUUAAUCGGGGCAGGGUGAGUCGACCCCUAAGGCGAGGCCGAAAGGCGUAGUCGAUGGGAAACAGGUUAAUAUUCCUGUACUUGGUGUUACUGCGAAGGGGGGACGGAGAAGGCUAUGUUGGCCGGGCGACGGUUGUCCCGGUUUAAGCGUGUAGGCUGGUUUUCCAGGCAAAUCCGGAAAAUCAAGGCUGAGGCGUGAUGACGAGGCACUACGGUGCUGAAGCAACAAAUGCCCUGCUUCCAGGAAAAGCCUCUAAGCAUCAGGUAACAUCAAAUCGUACCCCAAACCGACACAGGUGGUCAGGUAGAGAAUACCAAGGCGCUUGAGAGAACUCGGGUGAAGGAACUAGGCAAAAUGGUGCCGUAACUUCGGGAGAAGGCACGCUGAUAUGUAGGUGAAGUCCCUCGCGGAUGGAGCUGAAAUCAGUCGAAGAUACCAGCUGGCUGCAACUGUUUAUUAAAAACACAGCACUGUGCAAACACGAAAGUGGACGUAUACGGUGUGACGCCUGCCCGGUGCCGGAAGGUUAAUUGAUGGGGUCAGCGCAAGCGAAGCUCUUGAUCGAAGCCCCGGUAAACGGCGGCCGUAACUAUAACGGUCCUAAGGUAGCGAAAUUCCUUGUCGGGUAAGUUCCGACCUGCACGAAUGGCGUAAUGAUGGCCAGGCUGUCUCCACCCGAGACUCAGUGAAAUUGAACUCGCUGUGAAGAUGCAGUGUACCCGCGGCAAGACGGAAAGACCCCGUGAACCUUUACUAUAGCUUGACACUGAACAUUGAGCCUUGAUGUGUAGGAUAGGUGGGAGGCUUGGAAGUGUGGACGCCAGUCUGCAUGGAGCCGACCUUGAAAUACCACCCUUUAAUGUUUGAUGUUCUAACGUGGACCCGUGAUCCGGGUUGCGGACAGUGUCUGGUGGGUAGUUUGACUGGGGCGGUCUCCUCCUAAAGAGUAACGGAGGAGCACGAAGGUUGGCUAAUCCUGGUCGGACAUCAGGAGGUUAGUGCAAUGGCAUAAGCCAGCUUGACUGCGAGCGUGACGGCGCGAGCAGGUGCGAAAGCAGGUCAUAGUGAUCCGGUGGUUCUGAAUGGAAGGGCCAUCGCUCAACGGAUAAAAGGUACUCCGGGGAUAACAGGCUGAUACCGCCCAAGAGUUCAUAUCGACGGCGGUGUUUGGCACCUCGAUGUCGGCUCAUCACAUCCUGGGGCUGAAGUAGGUCCCAAGGGUAUGGCUGUUCGCCAUUUAAAGUGGUACGCGAGCUGGGUUUAGAACGUCGUGAGACAGUUCGGUCCCUAUCUGCCGUGGGCGCUGGAGAACUGAGGGGGGCUGCUCCUAGUACGAGAGGACCGGAGUGGACGCAUCACUGGUGUUCGGGUUGUCAUGCCAAUGGCACUGCCCGGUAGCUAAAUGCGGAAGAGAUAAGUGCUGAAAGCAUCUAAGCACGAAACUUGCCCCGAGAUGAGUUCUCCCUGACUCCUUGAGAGUCCUGAAGGAACGUUGAAGACGACGACGUUGAUAGGCCGGGUGUGUAAGCGCAGCGAUGCGUUGAGCUAACCGGUACUAAUGAACCGUGAGGCUUAACC